rnacentral:rRNA from 1 species
UACGUAGGGAGCAAGCGUUGUCCGGAAUUAUUGGGCGUAAAGCGCGCGCAGGCGGUCCUUUAAGUCUGAUGUGAAAGCCCACGGCUCAACCGUGGAAGGUCAUUGGAAACUGGGGGACUUGAGUGCAGAAGAGGAAAGUGGAAUUCCAAGUGUAGCGGUGAAAUGCGUAGAGAUUUGGAGGAACACCAGUGGCGAAGGCGACUUUCUGGUCUGUAACUGACGCUGAGGCGCGAAGGCCAGGGGAGCAAACGGG